AAAAUAUCAUAGUGUUAACAUGACACAUCUUCCAUGAACAUCAAUUUUACUCAGUAAGUUCGGUGAAAUAUUAUUUUAAUAGUAACACAAAUAUGGAGAUAUUUAUGGAACAGAAUAUAAAGUUCACAUGAAUUUUUAAAGCACAACAUGAUACUUUAAAGCUCUUUCAGGCUUGCUCUGGGCUGCUUUGGGCUAAGCCCCCAGGUCCCUCAGGGGUAGAUGUUCACUCCUCUCUGCCUAGGGUAACUUCAGUGGAAGUGUGGAAGCUCUCUUAGGACACUGAAUGUGUCAUACAAAACCUUUAUUAAUGUACCAGCAUUAACUUGGCAAUGUUAGCAGAUUGAAAAGCAAGAAGACAGAGAUAGUAAAUCAGAGAGACAGUCAUCACAGGGACGUGUGGCCUAGGAGCCACUCACACAGCACAAGGCCAAAUGGAUAGGCUGACCAAAGAGCAGUAAAGGGGGAAGAAGGGAGGGAAAAUGAGAGAGAGAGAAACCGUAAAGGCUAAAGACAGAGAGUGGUUAAGAUAAGGAGGGAAGGAGGAAGGAUGGGAGGUUAGUAUUGAGGCCGACACACAGAUCCUUGUUCAUCUCUUACUUUUAUGAUCCGGGGAGCCGUGCCACACAGCCCCAGCCAGCUCUGUCCUGAUGCUCUCUGAGUGGGGUAUGUCUGCCUUGGAAUUUUGUUCACAGACAGGCAUUGCUCAGUCUUGCCCCUGGCAGUUUGUGCAUGCUUGGUUCGUCAUAUCUGACCACUCCAUUAAAGAAUAGAAUAGAAUAGAGUAGAAUUCUGAUCCUCUUAUGUAGGCCUUGCUUCCAAAAGCAGAAACUCAAAUACCUGUGGAGUUAGGCAGAUAGAAAAGGUGUGUUGCUGACAGGUAUUAAUUAUAGAGAAUGCAAGGGAUUGUAGUAAACUUGUAGGCGGGUGCCUUGUUUAAAGGCACUCAAACUUGGAAAAAAAAAAAAAAAAGCAAAAAAGAAUGGGCUGGCUAAAGCCAAAAUCCCUUUCCUGCUGGAUUUGGUUUGCAGGGCCUUUGUUUCGUAGGCUUGCCACCCUCAGCAGACUGAAUUUUCUACUUGUGGUCUCAACUUACACUUGUGUCAUUAUAUUCCCCUAAUAUUCCAGUGGAAGUUGUGCUCUUAAUGUCAUGCUUGGGGCGAAAAAAAAAAAGGAAAAAAGAAAAUCAAGGCCCUGAAAUUAACUAAUUUUCAUAGGGCCACAAAAUUUGUAAAGUUAACAUCAAAUUUGAACUAAAGUCUUUUUUCACUUCAAUAGUUUUAAAUUUGACAUCUACUUCAGAGC
rnacentral:lncRNA from 10 species